UUAUUUUAGUUCUAAUACUUGGCAAUUGCCAGGUAUCAUCUUUUCGAUUUACCCAAUUCUACCAUCGAGGCCACAAGGGAGAUUUCUUCCAGAGAGAGGAUAGAGUUAUUAAGUCUAAAGUCCAUUAUUUGUUUUUGUCCUUCAUAAAAAGAUGGUCCUGACUCUGGGUGGAUCUAACAAGGAUCCUGGAACUCCAGUUCUGCUUUUUGGAUUUACCAGGAACUUCCCAGUCCAGACGAUUGGAAUUACAGCAUUAUUUACUUUGACUGGUAUGAUCUUCUGCUUUCAGUAACCAUCCUGUAACAACAAAGCCACUGCUUCGAUAUGUUUAGUUUCUGGAAUUAAAAUUUUAAUCUCUCUAUUUUAAAAUUUAA